CACAUGAUGCCAGACCCUUCAUUCAUUCAUUCAUUCAUUAUUUUUCAUAUUUCUUUUCUGGUCGUGCUUCCCUCUUCUCCAAACCCCCACUAUAUCUCGAUCCAUCCGAUUCAAUGCCACCCUUGUUCUCAUAAUUCAUCCAUGGCUACUUCUUCUUCAUGGAAUCUCAGAUCCCUUUUCACUUCUGGGAAUAAUUCCCCUCAGGAUUCAUCAAACCGGAAAGUAGAGAUCUCUGGAGUUACAAACGAGCAAUUUGAUCACCUCUAUUCGCCCUUAAUAGAUGACAAAAAGAGUCGAACGGUAACUCAUACUGUCAGAUCACAUGGGAUUGCUGUGGCAAGAACUCAUAUGUAUGAUUGGUUGAUUCUUAUAGCGUUGGCGGUUAUGAUAGUCGUUUUAAACGUUAUUCAUCCUUUCUAUCGGUUUGUUGGAAAAGACAUGAUGACUGAUCUUAAGUAUCCGUUGAAGGAUAGCACCGUUCCACUAUGGGCCGUUCCCGUAUAUGCAAUAUUGUUUCCAAUGGCUAUCUUUACGGUCUUCUAUUUUCAUAGAAGAGAUGUAUAUGAUCUUCAUCAUGCCAUAUUAGGGCUUUUAUUUUCUGUUAUGAUAACCGGGGUCAUAACCGAUGCAAUAACGGAUGCGGUUGGAAGACCUCGGCCCGACUUCUUCUGGCGUUGUUUCCCAGACGGAAAAGAUGAUUCCGUCGUGUUCUUCAGCUUUACGGUCGAUUCGGAAACGUUAUAUGUCAUGGCGAUAGCGAUGUUGUACGAGAAGGCCAUAAGAGUUUCCCGUGUGGAUACACUUCAUGGUCUUUCUCUGGUCUCGGAUUCUUGUCCCUCUAUCUAUCGGGAAAAUUAAGAGCGUUUGACCGUAACGGCCAUGUUGCAAAGCUAUGCAUCGUCUUUUUGCCGCUACUCGUUGCAUCACUCGUUGGCAUUUCUCGUGUAGACGACUAUUGGAACCACUGGCAAGACGUCUUUGCUGGAGGUCUAAUAGGUCUUACAGUGGCGACGUUUUGCUAUUUGCAGUUUUAUGCACCACCCUAUCACGCCGAAGGUUGGGGACCCUACGCAUUUUUUCGUGCUCUAGAAGACUCUGCUGCCCAAAUCAACGCGCUCGGGUCUUCAUUCGCUGAUUCCCGAUUGACAAUCGACGAUCUUGAAUCUGCUAUUAGGUAGUUCUUUCUGUAUUUAGAAAGUUAGAUUGUUUGAUCAUUAUUGUUUCUAACAAAAUUUGUUAGUUUCGAAAAGAUAUCAUACAAGAGUUGUAACUUGCAAGCA